UGAUGAAAAAAACAACGUUGUUGAUAAAGACGCGAAUUCUCCGCCCUCCCGGUUCUUCGUCAAGGUUUCAGCAAAACCCUGAUUCACUAAACUCCCGAAAAAUUCAGGUAACAAUGGUGACAGCGAUGGACUGCAGGAGCUGGGACGAAGACAUGUACAGAGACUCCAUUUUACUGGAGAGAGAAUCCCAAUGCCGAACUGUUUUCCGUACUGCAUUCGCCCCGAACACGAAUCCAAACCGUAAUUCUUAUCCGGACCUCAUUGUCGCCGCAACGGCACUAUCGCCUCUUACUCCAUCUCCUCUUGCCUCGUAAUCUCAAUAUCUCACUCUAACUUAAAGAAGCAAAAGUUAUUAACUAAAGUACUUAGUUUUUUUUUCUUUCUUUUUUUUGCUUCUUCGUCUUGGUAGGAUUGAGGUCCGCGGGUAGGUAAGUUCCUGUUUUCUCCAUGUUUUCGAAGUGUGGCGGUCAUCGUUUGGAUUGAAUUGAUAAUUUAUUUGGUAAAUUUGGUUUAGUUCGUUGGUGCUAGUUGUUGAAUCUAGUUGGCUGGUACAAGGACAUGAUGGACCUGCUUAUGAUGUUAAAUUUUAUGGUAACGAUGAGGAUUCACUGUUAUUGAGGUAUUUGUUCUUAUAAACUUUUUCGGUUCGUAUGUAUUCACUAAAAUUGUAGGUGAGUUAGCACAAACGGAAAACAAUUCAAGUUUUUGUUUGGAGUGAAAACUGAACACUAUGGGCAUAUAUUUCUUCAAGCAUUUGAAAUGCAGGUAGAUAUCUAUUAAAUUAACUAGAGCUCAUAUGUCUUAAAUGGUCCUAGCUAGUGACUGAGCUGUCAAACAACUAGGUCAACUGAUUUUCUUUUCAAUUGGUAUACGUAAACGGGGAGGCAAUUAUCUCAUGGUACUUAUCAUUCAUAAAUAAAGGAAUUAUCUAGUAUAAUUUCUUCAAUCACUGUUAUUUAUGUUCUACUAUACAUGCCGAUUCUUUGUUAAUGUAGGUGAUAUCAUGCAGUUGUGGUGAUGAUGGUCGGAUUCGUGGAUGGAAAUGGAAAGAAUUAUUGGGGUCUAACUUCUAAGGAGCUGGUGCAAGGUACAAUUUUUUCGUGUGCAGCGAUAGAUCCUUGACUGGUUUGGGAUUGAGUUGACUAGUCAUAGAGGUCCGUGGGGUUCGCUUUCUCCAAUUCCAGUGAAUAAUUGCAUGGCUGUUAAUACUCAGGUUUGUUGUCCUUUUAUUUUUUUCUAAAUCAACCGAGUGGCUUCUUGAUUGACAGUCUGGAAUGAGUGGAUUGGACUAUAUGUAAGUCUGAUUGCAGUUGACAGAAACAACUUCUCUACUCCUUUGGGGUAGAGGUAAGGUCUACGUACACACUACCCUACCCAUACCCCACUUGUGGGAUUUUACUAGGUCGUUGUUGUUGAUUGCAGUUGACGCGUUAGCUGGUUCAGACAGGACCCAGGAGGUAUAGGUAGAUUGUGGUUAGUUAUCUUUUCCUGGUUAGAGUCUCGUUUUGGUACUGAGAUGCAAACCAGUUCUUUAAGUACAGAUGCUUUUUGUUAUGAAGGAAUAUCUUGGGUCCUUCACUACAUUAUGAUGGUCAUUGAAACCUAUAUACUGUGCAGCAAUGAGGCAAUAUUUCAUUUCAUUUCCUUUUUACAAAGAAGAGAGUGAAGUGUGGUGGCGGUGGAAGCUAUUAUUUUUUUCAAAUUGUGUAAUCUACUAGAAUUGCUAAAUUUGUGGAUGAACUACAAAAGAAUAUCUUAGUAGCAGACAAUUUGUCUUAUUCAUUUGAUUCUUUGGUGCAUUACUUUUGGGGGGUUGCCGGUCUUCUUUUGUACAUUAGACCUACUCUAUUUUGAUAUAGUAUUGUGUGUGUGAUUCUUGAAUACCAAAUUUCGUGAAGGAUUCCAGGCACAACCGUAGGAAGUGGUUUGGAGAGAAGAAUCAAGUGACUACGUAGGGAUUCAUGUUGAGUGGACUUCCGGGUUACGGUACCAUAGCUAGAGCUGUUAGUUCAAAGUGUCUGACAUAGUUAACUCUGUUAAUUUACCUGUUUAUAUCACAUGGAUUCUUCUCUUUCGUAGGUCAAGUCUGAUAUUCUGAUUGAUCCUUUUCAAAACUUACCUCAAAGUUGUCAUGUCUACAUAUUUUUAUUUAAUAUUUUGUGUUCCACUGUAGACUGGAUCCAUUUUUGCUGCUGCUGCUGAUUCUUGUGCAUACUGCUGGGAUUUGCUCAAGGUGUAUUGUUGACUCCUAUUAUGAGAUCUCUUAAUCGAUUCAUUCUUUUGGUUUACUUUAUCGACUUAUACUUCGACUCUCUUCGUUGCUUAUUCUAAAUAAGAUUUUUGUCAUGAAAAUCUAAAUAAAGUUAAGGUGCUUAGGAGUAGAAUGAAGUAAAGUUGGUUUUGAAAGGACAUUCAGACUACUUGCAUUGCAUCGUUGCGGGAAAUUCUCACAAUCAGGUUAUAACUGGUUCAGAGGAUGUGACAGCACGCAUAUGUCUUUAAUAUUCUUUCUACUUCUAGCACUAGGAGCACAAGGUCUGCCGCAGGGGCAUCUAGUUUUUUUUAUCGUUCAGUAAUAGGAGCACAAGGCCUGAUGAAUGGCCAAUGCUGGCUUUUAUUGAUUUGGGCUCUCUCUGUUAUUUAGAAGUUACACAUGAUUUUGCUCAUUUGGAUCUUUCUUUUUUUAUGUUUUGAUUAUUUGUCUAUUAUUUGUGAAAUUGCCUUAGAUUGCAGAACUGGUAAAUGUAUUCAAAUAAUUGAUCCGCCAAAGGAUAAGAAGUGGAGGGAGUUGUUUCCAUAUGUCAGUUGCAUUGCUCUUGAUUUAAGUGAGAGUUGUCUGGUAAGAGUUCAGAUUCCUUUAAACACCAAAUGAACUUUCUCGUAAGUUUGCUACUGCACCAACAAUUACAAUUGUUGUAUUGACCAAUCAAAAGUUCUCUCUGUUGUAUUGUGAAAUUACAGAAGCUUACUUUUGUUAAUGAUGUUGGGAUGACCUACUGUAUGAUUAUAAUAAUCUUGUCAAUGAUGACCGGUUUUCUUGAA